AGGCCACGCCCGGGGCCGCCUUCCUGCCCUACCCGGCCGCGCUGCGCAGGGCCGCGGUGAAGCACUGGUGGAGAAGACCUGAGGUAGAGCCAAGGGAGGGCUGGGUAAACCCCGCGCCGGCCGCAGGGGCAGGCGCCGCAGGAGGAGGCAAUGGAGGAUGCCGCUGCUCGGCCUGGUGCGGAAGGAAAAAACACAUCCAGCCUUCCCUUUCCACAGGGCAUCUAGAGCAUCCGAGUUCCGCUGAGGCUGGGCGGGCAGCGAUCAGCACAACUCGCUGCCGUCGUCGCUCAGACUAGGCGUCAUUCAUAACCUGUGACUGUCAUCAGACUAAGAUACUGCUGAGCCAGAUCUUCCUUCUGAGGGAACUGGUUGCCCCAACCCUAAUACGAAACUGCAUUUCAUAUAACUGCACCACCCCAGUAACAUGGGAGGGUGCAAAGCAGGAGGAAACAGGAUUUGUACAUUAGCCUCUACUUUAUCUGCUUAAGAGGAUGGCUAAAGAAAUAAACCCGUUACCCUCUGCCAUCUAGAUUUGGUAUCUGGAGGAGCACCUAUCACCUAGAUGCUUUUAAAUGCUUUCUGGAAGUGGCAUUGCUGCAGUCCAUACAGCUUUAUACAUAAACAAUUAAAGUUACACUUUUCUGAUGUAUUAAAAACUCCAGGGAAACCUUCAGUUCCUCACAAGUCAUUCUGAACUUGUUUUAAAUUCAUUUUGGUCAUAGAGCAGAAAACUACUGCCUAGCCACCAGACAGCAUCAACUCCAGAGAAGAGAGGCUCAUGGAGUAUUAAAGUCACCAGGUAUAUCAUAUUUAGCAUUAACUGCGGGGCAAAACUACAGACAUUCAAAGGUCUAAUCCAUUGCCAAAGAACAACCCCUACGACCCCUAGAAAAAAAUAACAGCUUCACCAGCCACAUCCCUCUCUAGCUGCAGGUACAAACAGUGCACCAACUGCAACAAAGCAUCACCAAUAUAUUGGUACUGGACAGACACUAGCUCAGAAAAAAAAGAAGAGUCAAAAAAAACCCUAAAGUGCUUAAGGCAAUUCUUCAUAUCCCCAUUUACUAGAAACAAUUGAACUAGCUGUUAGCAGCAAAAAUUUGACAUCUGUGCAAACUAUUAUAUAACAAAUUUAUCUUUUAAGGGUAAAAAGUCACAUAUUAAGUUCAUCUAGGACAUCAGUUAAAAUUUGCAAGUCACAAGUCACAGUAUUAAAUACUUCAGGCUUUCUUCUAAGUGUUAAAUUACAUUUUUACGUGUGCAUAUCAAAUUUACCUUGCAGGCUGCACAACAUCUUGCUAGAAAAACUUCAUCAUUUAAAUGCUCUUAUGAACGGCUGGAGAUUACUCAUGGUUCUUUCUCACCACACAUUAACUUACUGAACAUCCCCUUUCUUUUCAAGAAGGGAAAUUUAAAUAGGAACAUCCUAUUUAACUGAUGAACAUCCAAAUGAAGCAAACAAUGGGGCAGUGUGAAUAAGUAGUAGCCUGUUUCGAUGUCUGUUUACCAGUCAUUCAGCAGAACAAGUCUCAAAACAAGAAGCAUCCAUCUUAAGCAUCCUCAGUCUAAACACCACCAGGGUCCAGCAAUCCUCAGC
ensembl:lncRNA